rnacentral:rRNA from 1 species
AUUGAACGCUGGCGGCAGGCUUAACACAUGCAAGUCGAGCGGAGAGAGGUAGCUUGCUACCGAUCUUAGCGGCGGACGGGUGAGUAAUGCUUAGGAAUCUGCCUAUUAGUGGGGGACAACAUUUCGAAAGGAAUGCUAAUACCGCAUAUGUCCUACGGGAGAAAGCAGGGGACCUUCGGACCUUGCGCUAAUACAUGAGCAUAAGUCGGAUUAGGUAGUUGGUGGGGUAAAGGCCUACCAAGGCGACGAUCUGUAGCGGGUCGGAGAGGAUGAUCCGCCACACUGGGACUGAGACACGGCCCAGACACCUACGGGAGGCAGCAGUGGGGAAUAUUGGACAAUGGGCGCAAGCUUGAUCCAGCCAUGCCGCGUGUGUGAAGAAGGCCUUAUGGUUGUAAAGCACUUUAAGCGAGGAGGAGGCUACUUUAGUUAAUACCUAGAGAUAGUGGACGUUACUCGCAGAAUAAGCACCGGCUAACUCUGUGCCAGCAGCCGCGGUAACAC